rnacentral:rRNA from 1 species
UACAGAGGGGCGAGCGUUGUUCGGAAUUGACUGGGCGUAAAGGGCGCGUAGGCUGGCCUGCUAAGUCGAACGUGAAAUCCCUGGGCUCAACCCAGGAACUGCGGUCCGGAUACUGGUUGGCUUGAAGUCCGGGAGAGGGAUGUGGAAUUCCAGGUGUAGGCGGUGAAAUGCGUGAGAUAUCUGGAGGAACACCGGUGGCGAAGGCGACAUCCUGGACCGGUAUUGA